ACAUAGGCGGCAGAAAGAAAGGAAGGCGCCAGUUGCGCAGACAACACUAGUCUCUAUCGACGCUUUUCGCUCUCUUACACUGGUGCAGUUUUGGCCUUGGAAAAGAAGUGAAAAGAAUCCAGAAUAAGAUCUGCACGUCUGGCCGGAGGCUCAGCAGAAAAAAAUGAAUGUUUGGGAAUGUCAUGUAUUCCGAUCUGCGCCCCUCGAUUAGCGAACGCUAUGGAGGCGAAGGUCGCUUCGGCACGUGUGUGCCUCCACUGCUAUAAAGGCUCCUGUUGAGUUCCCAGAGACCCCAGACCAUCCUCCACAGCCAUUGUAAAGAACCGUAACAGAAGAACGCAACCAUGAUCUCCCUGAGCAGCAAGACUCUCCUCGUCACCCUCGUUGUGCUGGUCGUCCUGUGCAGCCUUGCAUCGGCCCAGUUCGGCUACGGACGUGGAUUUGGACGUGGCUACGGUGGCUUCGGUCGAGGAUACGGCGGCUUCGGCCGAGGAUACGGCGGAUACGGGGGCUACGGUCGCGGAUUUGGAGGCUACGGAGGAUACGGUCGUGGAUUCUAUGGCUGAGUUUCACUGAACAAGAACUGUUGCAACUACAACGAAUCACUACCUGAAAUCGGAUAAAAAGCGUCCUCAACCCAGCGCUUCUUAUUUCGCCGCCGAUGAAUGUCAAUAAAUUAUUUAUU